GCGGGAGCAAUAAAUCCGGCUUUGGGCGAGUUAUAAGAUGCCAGGAACGUCUGCAGGAGGGGCAGGUGCAAUUUUUUGCUUGGUGCGUGGUGGGGGGGGUGUUGCUGGGUCAUCUAACUCCAACUCUAGAGCUACCAGGUCCAUCAGUCCAUCUAACCUGGGUGUCUCCCCUGUGAGCACGCCACAAGAAGUGCAACGGAAAUAGAAAACUUGAUCCUUUCUCUCAGCUUUAAUCGAAGAGGAAAAGGCUCGCCAGCAGAACACUUGAUGAACAAGUCAUUCCGAGGAGCUGGCCUCUUGGAGAGGAAAUGGCUGAAGAAGCGGAGCUGCAGGAAGACAAGGCCAUGGCCUGGCUGCAGGCUGUCUCCGAGUCUGAAGAGGGUCAGCAACUCUGAGAAAUGAAGCUAUUCCUGAGUGAGAAGGCCAAAGAAGGAAUAAGGCAGAGGGAGAGCCCCUGAGGAGACUGAGGCCAGAGUGAGGACCCUGUGUGAAGCUGGAGGGGAGGAAGAUGAUCAGAGGAAUUCAGCCCCCCAGAGGGAGCAGCAGAAACCAAGGCUGGCAGGGGCUCUAAGCUGCCUGGGCAAAGGAGCAGGGGGUGGCAUCGAGCCUUAGCCAAUUUGGAAAGCACCGUGACCCAAGCACAUUCUGCAGCAGUAAUGUCAAAUUCUGCCGUUCAGGCAUGCCAUUGAUGUGCACACUGCCACACAGAAACCAGUGACACAAAGGCACAGCCUUCUCCACCCUCCUGGUGCUUAGAAACUAACGGCUCUAAUGAGAAAUGAGAGCUGAAAGGAGCCGGAUGGGAGGCGGGCCACAGCGGUGCAGGCUGGCGCUGAGUGUUGGAGGAGGCUGACCCAGUUCUUGUAGAGGUAAGGGGCCCACUGAAAUGUCACUUAAAUUAGCUACCACUCCCAACACUAGAUCUCCUUUGUCCCCAAACCUCAUUGCAUGAAAUGGGAGCCCUGUCAGUGAGCCCCACAGUUACAUUCUGGUUUCUUCUUCUCUGGGGCAGCCUCAGGCCCUGCACCCACUGGACUUUGAGAACCAUAAACCAACCACCCUGGUUCCAGAAACCCUCUUGAAAGAGGUGAGGACAAGGAGGUAGAGGGGAGAGAGGAGGGAGAGAGGGAAGGAAGGAAGGAAGGGAAGGAGAGAGAGAGAGAGAGAGCACGCAUUCACCAUGAAGAGCCCUCUUUUCUGGCUUUUUGACUGCACUGUGAGUUAUUGAGCCAACAAUAGAUGUUUAUGUAUUUUUUUUAGAGCUCGUAUUUAUUAACAGCCUGUAAGGGGGGAGGCUGGGAGAUUUAUAUGGGAAGUGCAGUGAGUUAAAAGGGACAAUUAGAGGAGCAGAAGGAGACACAGAGCACAGAAUUGUAAAGGAUAUUUUAACACCCAUCAAAGGUUCUCGAGGUAUUUUCCAAGUAGGCGGAGGGAAAAGAAAAUUGGCCCAUUAGAAACUGAUAGUCGGGGAUCGGUGACAUGGAUGGAGUAAUGAGUGGCUGAUGGCUUGAACUCCUGCAAAGGGAAGGUGAAGAAAGGAAGGAGACAGAGCAGGAGUUGAUCAGCUGGAGUACGGUCAGGAGGCCCAGGGGUGUAAGGACCCAGUAAAAUGUGCACUUGCCUUUCCUUGAUCAAAGAAUGUACAUCCAGCUAGGUGUGGUGGCAAAGGGCUGAUAUCCCAGUACUCAGGAAGCUGAGGCAGGAGGAUCACCAUGAGUGUAAGCCCAGCCUGGGCUGCAUAGUAACACCUUGUUUCAA